rnacentral:rRNA from 1 species
UGCGGAGGGAGCUAGCGUUGUUCGGAAUUACUGGGCGUAAAGGGCACGUAGGCGGCGACUCAAGUCAGAGGUGAAAGCCCGGGGCUCAACCCCGGAACUGCCUUUGAAACUAGGUUGCUAGAAUCUUGGAGAGGUCAGUGGAAUUCCGAGUGUAGAGGUGAAAUUCGUAGAUAUUCGGAAGAACACCAGUGGCGAAGGCGACUGACUGGACAAGUAUUGACGCUGAGGUGCGAAAGCGUGGGGAGCAAACAGG